UACGUAGGGGGCAAGCGUUAUCCGGAAUUACUGGGCGUAAAGCGUGCGCAGGCGGUUAUGCAAGACAGAUGUGAAAUCCCCGGGCUUAACCUGGGAACCGCAUUUGUGACUGCAUAGCUGGAGUACGGCAGAGGGGGAUGGAAUUCCGCGUGUAGCAGUGAAAUGCGUAGAUAUGCGGAGGAACACCGAUGGCGAAGGCAGUCCCCUGGGCCUGUACUGACGCUCAUGCACGAAAGCGUGGGGAGCAAACAGG
rnacentral:rRNA from 1 species